rnacentral:misc_RNA from 1 species
CCAAUAGCGUAUAUUAAAGUUGUUGCAGUUAAAAAGCUCGUAGUUGAAUUUCGGGGUUAGCAGGUCGGUCGUGCCAUUGGUAUGAACUGGUCUCGCUGAUCCCUCCCUCUUGACGAACUGUGAUGCCAUUAAUUUGGUGUCGCAGGGAAUCAGGACUGUUACUUUGAAAAAAUUAGAGUGUUUAAAGCAGGCUUUCGCUUGAAUACAUUAGCAUGGAAUAAUGAAAUAGGACGUUUGAUCCUAUUUUGUUGGUUUCUAGGAUUGACGUAAUGAUUAAUAGGGAUAGUUGGGGGCAUUAGUAUUCAAUUGUCAGAGGUGAAAUUCUUGGAUUUAUUGAAGACUAACUACUGCGAAAGCAUUUGCCAAGGAUGUUUUCAUUAAUCAAGAACGAAAGUUAGGGGAUCGAAGACGAUCAGAUACCGUCGUAGUCUUAACCAUAAACUAUGCCGACUAGGGAUCGGAUGAUGUUAAUUUUUUAAUGACUCAUUCGGCGCCUUACA